rnacentral:tRNA from 1 species
GGGUGCGUAGCUCAGCGGUAGAGCACUACGGUGACAUCGUAGGGGUCGCUGGUUCGAGACCAGCCGCACCCACCA